rnacentral:lncRNA from 12 species
AUGGGAACACUUUCCCUGGCAACCCUGGGCAGCCCGGCAACGUGCCAAGCGGUUGCUAGGGCAGAGUUGUCAAUCACCUCAGAGGGGUUAGCGUGUAUGCCAGGCAUGUUGGUAGGACCGAGCUCUGCUGCUGAGAAAAGAGAGAUACAUACACAGCUCUGGUCAGCUGCAAAAUAUGAAGGUAGAGAAGACAAAGGGUGGAGAAUGAUGGUGGGAGAGAAAAGUAUGGUUACCUGAUCACUGACCAGCUGUUCUCCUUUGAGCUUUAUGUCGUAUGAGUGAACACCUGUAGUCCCUGAGGAGCACCAGAGCAGAUCUCAGGUGAUGCAUCACAGCUUCUAAAAAGACAAAGGACUGGUGAUUUCAAACAUAUAACAUGCACAAAUAAUGGAGUUGUGCACACAGUGGCAACAGUAACUAUUUGGACACAUCUUGACACAACACAAACUCAAAAUUUUAUAAAUGUUGCAUUAGAUAACAAACCUAGUGGCAUCAAUUUUUAAUCAUUUAUUUCUCAGAAAAACACUACCGUUCAAAUGUUGUUGUUUUUUUGUUUUGUUAAAUAAAUGCCACAGAAAUCAAACUGCAUGAACCGAAACCAUAUAAACUGUUACAUCGAUACCAAGGUACAUACCAAACCGUCAUGUUUGUGUACCAUUACACCCCUAUUUUAUUAAUCAAAGAAGCAUUAAAUUAAUCAAAAGUGACAGUAAAGAUGUUUAUCUUGUUACAAAAGAUUUCUAUUUCCAAUCAUUUCUGUUCUUUUGAACAAUGGCUGCUGAAAAUUCAGCUUUGCCUUCACAGUCUUGCUUGAUUUGAUAUUUUGUUAUAUAAUUCAAAGGCAUUCAUACAUUUUUAAGAGCAGUCUAGAGAGUCUAGAGAGUUUUUGGACCACGGUGUAUUUGAAUGAUUGAACUAAUAAUUCUUAUGUAAUUAAAUAAGCUUGAUGAAGUUAAUUUCUGCCUUAUGCUUGUAAGCAUCUCAUUUUUCAUUUUUAUCCAGACACCCGGGGUUUUCCCAUGAUGCAUCAUCUUACCCAGAUAAUUGUGACAUCAUGCCAAGAAUGCACAUACGUGUUUAAAUAUAAACAAACUCCAGCCCCAGAUCUCUGGUAUGUAAUUCAUAUUUUAUGUCUGUUUUGACAGGCUUCUGUGUUCAUCUGCAUGAGAAAACAAAAUCCACCCUUCUGCCUGGUAGUAAUCUUAUCUGCAUACACCAUAUUAAACAGGUCACAUACAGGUCAGCGCUCACGAUGGAAAUAAAACGAAAUGAAAGGAGCCUUCAGAAAUCAAAGUAAGUUCAUUUUCAUCACUGAUUAUCUGCAUUUAUGCGGCUAUCAGGGAGAGAAAACUGAACAAAUUCUCUGUUCCAGGCCAAUUUCAUAGUCUGAAGCAUUACGUAUCUAACACUAUUUAACAGAGCAAC